rnacentral:lncRNA from 1 species
AUGUAUAAGGAUAUCUUGGGAUGGCAGAGUGAAAGAAUUACUAUCCGGCCAAGGUCAAAACCAACCUGUAGAAGAAAACUUGUGUUCUAACUUGAUCUAACACGGAGAAACACCAUUACGUUCAUGCUCAGCUGAUCGUUGGGCAACACACGUGUCGUCGGUGAGACCAAUCUCUUAGAGAGGUUUUCUACAUUCCCUGAAUAUAUACUGUGGAAGACGCGCUAUAACCUUGCUGCAGCUUUCUUCGAAUACUAUUACUAUUCAGGAGACUGCAUCAGGUGCACUUUAUGCGCAGCCAUGCGUCGGCGUCCGGUGGGAGCCCUAUAUCCCGAGCGACUUCGUCGUCUCCACUUCCGUACCUGUGAGGUAUUCAACCACCAACGCAUAACUACCUUUCGGGA